rnacentral:rRNA from 1 species
AUUGAACGCUGGCGGCAUGCCUUACACAUGCAAGUCGAACGGUAACAGGUCUUCGGAUGCUGACGAGUGGCGAACGGGUGAGUAAUACAUCGGAACGUGCCUAGUAGUGGGGGAUAACUACUCGAAAGAGUGGCUAAUACCGCAUGAGAUCUACGGAUGAAAGCAGGGGAUCGCAAGACCUUGUGCUACUAGAGCGGCCGAUGGCAGAUUAGGUAGGUGGUGGGAUAAAAGCUUACCAAGCCGACGAUCUGUAGCUGGUCUGAGAGGACGAUCAGCCACACUGGGACUGAGACACGGCCCAGACUCCUGCGGGAGGCAGCAGUGGGGAAUUUUAGACAAUGGGCGCAAGCCUGAUCCAGCAAUGCCGCGUGCAGGAUGAAGGCCUUCGGGUUGUAAACUGCUUUUGUACGGAACGAAAAGCCCUGGGUUAAUACCCUGGGGUCAUGACGGUACCGUAAGAAUAAGCACCGGCUAACUACGUGCCAGCCGCCGCAGUAAUAC